UAUGUGUGUCUAUGUUGCCUGGGCUUCUGGAACUGGCCACCCUAUGCCGGGAGAGGAGUCUGCCUCAGGUAGCCAUUGUCCUUUCCUCCUGCAUCAGGAAAUGGAACCACGUGGAGCAGAACUGUGUCAGCUUCUAAGCCUGGAGUCCAGCCUAGCUCAGCCAGCCCGGGUGAGCCCAGCUAGGAUCAGACCAAGCCGACUGGCAGGCCUAUUAGCAAGAAAAAUCAAUGUAUGUUGUCCUCAGCUCCUGAGAUUUUGAGGUGGUUUGCAACGCAGCAAAAAUCGACUAAUCCAAAGGGCAGGUUCAGCCGCCCCAGCCCUUGGAGAUGCUGCCCUGGGAAAUCAGGAAGCACACUGUGAAGCAGGUUGCCACAGCUUGGAUCCUGGGAGCAGUGUGGAAUGCUCAAAGAGGCUCAGAGUCUGGAACCCUUCCACUUGAAGCCUUGUCUCUGUCCAGGAUUAGGCUGCUACUUAAGGGCACGUGGAGCAAAUGUCCAUCGGAAAACCAGAACGAGUGAAGCUGCUCGGAAGACCUCACCCCAAGAGAAUGAAGUACCUCCUUUUCCUCCCCUUCCCAAACUCUUCCCUUCUGUAAAUAUCUCUUCUCUCUCCUGCAUCAUCAGUUUCUCUGUCUCUAAAGGGAUGUUCCCAUCUGCAUAUAAAGAUGCUAGGGUAUUGCUUA